CCCCCUGUAGCUCAGUUGGUAGAGCAUGGUGUUUGCAACACCAGGGUUGUGGGUUUGAUUCCCACGGGGGGC
rnacentral:tRNA from 1 species